rnacentral:rRNA from 1 species
UGGGAAUUUUGGACAAUGGGCGCAAGCCUGAUCCAGCCAUGCCGCGUGCGGGAAGAAGGCCUUCGGGUUGUAAACCGCUUUUGUCAGGGAAGAAAUCUUCUGAGUUAAUACCUCGGGAGGAUGACGGUACCUGAAGAAUAAGCACCGGCUAACUACGUGCCAGCAGCCGCGGUAAUACGUAGGGUGCAAGCGUUAAUCGGAAUUACUGGGCGUAAAGCGUGCGCAGGCGGUUUUGUAAGACAGAGGUGAAAUCCCCGGGCUCAACCUGGGAACUGCCUUUGUGACUGCAAGGCUUGAGUGCGGCAGAGGGGGGUGGAAUUCCGCGUGUAGCAGUGAAAUGCGUAGAUAUGCGGAGGAACACCGAUGGCGAAGGCAAUCCCCUGGGCCUGCACUGACGCUCAUGCACGAAAGCAUGGGGAGCAAACAGGAUUAGAUACCCUGGUAGUCCACGCCCUAAACGAUGUCAACUGGUUGUUGGGAAGGUUCCUUCUCAGUAACGUAGCUAACGCGUGAAGUUGACCGCCUGGGGAGUACGGCCGCAAGGUUG